GAGCUCCUCAACAUUCUCCAAAGUUUCCUGAGAGAACUUAGGGAUACUGGCUGGCUCCUCGAGGGUGCCUCAACACCGACUGACGAAUCCAAUAUCUGAGAUGCGGCAAGGCAGGACAGGGACUCGGGCGCCACCACCAAACUCAAUGUGAGAGGGAGUGGUGAUGGAAGGACCUUAGCGCCGGUGAGAGAGCUGAGGUGCGCUGCCGACGACAGUGUUCUUCAGGAUGUAUAUCGAGUUCCCAGGAAGUUUAUGGCGGGAGUUUUUUGGUUCGGAAACAAUGAAUGGGUUGUGCGUAACGAAGGAGGUUGUAAUCUUGAAAGCCACGAGGCCUACUUAGAAUAAAUUAUCUUGGUGAGUUGCUGUGAAAAGAUUGCGUGAUUUAGCAUCAAAUCUCAGGUUUUUGUGUGAGUUUUCCUUGUUACUUUUUUUCUAUUAUAUGAAUGUGUUUAAAUCAAUUAGUUUAGUGAAUAACUCUUAAAUAAUGCACCGGAUAUUAGGUUUUUGUGUGAUUUUACGGGAUAUGUUUUUCUAUUAAGUAAUAUUUUGAGUAGUAAGGGAGACUAGCUACCCAACCCUACCCAAAAGAAUGAAGAUAUCAUUAUAAAUGGACCUGUUCUCUAA